rnacentral:rRNA from 1 species
UAAGUCAAAUGUGAAAUCCCCGAGCUUAACUUGGGAAUUGCAUUCGAUACUGGUUGGCUAGAGUAUGGGAGAGGAUGGUAGAAUUCCAGGUGUAGCGGUGAAAUGCGUAGAGAUCUGGAGGAAUACCGAUGGCGAAGGCAGCCAUCUGGCCUAAUACUGACGCUGAGGUACGAAAGCAUGGGGAGCAAACAGGAUUAGAUACCCUGGUAGUCCAUGCCGUAAACGAUGUCUACUAGCCGUUGGGGCCCUUGAGGCUUUAGUGGCGCAGCUAACGCGAUAAGUAGACCGCCUGGGGAGUACAGUCGCAAGACUAAAACUCAAAUGAAUUGACGGGGGCCCGCACAAGCGGUGGAGCAUGUGGUUUAAUUCGAUGCAACGCGAAGAACCUUACCUGGCCUUGACAUACAGAGAACUUUCCAGAGAUGGAUUGGUGCCUUCGGGAACUCUGAUACAGGUGCUGCAUGGCUGUCGUCAGCUCGUGUCGUGAGAUGUUGGGUUAAGUCCCGCAACGAGCGCAACCCUUUUCCUUAUUUGCCAGCACUUCGGGUGGGAACUUUAAGGAUACUGCCAGUGACAAACUGGAGGAAGGCGGGGACGACGUCAAGUCAUCAUGGCCCUUACGGCCAGGGCUACACACGUGCUACAAUGGUCGGUACAGAGGGUUGCUACACAGCGAUGUGAUGCUAAUCUCAAAAAGCCGAUCGUAGUCCGGAUUGGAGUCUGCAACUCGACUCCAUGAAGUCGGAAUCGCUAGUAA